GAUCCUGGCUCCAGAACGAACGCUGGCGGCGUGCUAAGACAUGCAAGUCGUGCGGAAAGCUCCUUCGGGAGCACUCGAGCGGCGCACGGGUGAGUAACACGUGGGUAAUCUGCCUUCGGCCCGGGACAACUUCGGGAACUGAGCUAAUACCGAUGAAGACCACGGGGACCUUCGGGUCCUGCGGAAAAGGUAGGCCUCUGCUUGCAAGCUACCGCCUGUCGAUGAGCCUGCGUCCCAUUAGCUAGUUGGUGGGGUAACGGCCUACCAAGGCGAUGAUGGGUAGCUGGUCUGAGAGGAUGAUCAGCCACACUGGAACUGAGACACGGUCCAGACUCCUACGGGAGGCAGCAGUCGGGAAUUUUGGGCAAUGGGCGAAAGCCUGACCCAGCAACGCCGCGUGAGGGAUGAAGGCCCUCGGGUCGUAAACCUCUGUCGGGAGGGAAGAACGAUCGGCAGUCGAACAGGCUGACGGUCUGACGGUACCUCCAAAGGAAGCACCGGCUAACUCCGUGCCAGCAGCCGCGGUAA
rnacentral:rRNA from 1 species